ACCUGGCAUACAAUGUAGAAUUCUGU
rnacentral:ncRNA from 4 species